rnacentral:rRNA from 1 species
GAUGAACGCUGGCGGCGUGCCUAAUACAUGCAAGUCGAGCGAACAGACGAGGAGCUUGCUCCUCUGACGUUAGCGGCGGACGGGUGAGUAACACGUGGAUAACCUACCUAUAAGACUGGGAUAACUUCGGGAAACCGGAGCUAAUACCGGAUAAUAUAUUGAACCGCAUGGUUCAAUAGUGAAAGACGGUUUUGCUGUCACUUAUAGAUGGAUCCGCGCCGCAUUAGCUAGUUGGUAAGGUAACGGCUUAUCAAGGCGACGAUGCGUAGCCGACCGGAGAGGGGGGUCGGCCACACUGGAGCGGGGACACGGUCCAUACUCCUACGGGAGGCAGCAGUAGGGAAUCUGCCGCAAUGGGCGAAAGCCUGACGGAGCAACGCCGCGUGAGUGAUGAAGGUCUUCGGAUCGUAAAACUCUGUUAUUAGGGAAGAACAAAUGUGUAAGUAACUAUGCACGUCUUGACGGUACCUAAUAAGAAAGCCACGGCUAACUACGUG